GCAGCAGGCGCGAAAACUUUACAAUGCCGGCAACGGCGAUAAGGGAACCUCGAGUGCCAGGUUACAAAUCUGGCUGUCGUGAUGCCUAAAAAGCAUUGCAUAGCAAGGGCCGGGCAAGACCGGUGCCAGCCGCCGCGGUAACACCGGCGGCUCGAGUGGUAACCGUUAUUAUUGGGUCUAAAGGGUCUGUAGCCGGCCGGGUAAGUCUCUUGGGAAAUCUGGCAGCUUAACUGUCAGGCUUUCAGGAGAUACUGCCUGGCUCGAGGCCGGGAGAGGUGAGAGGUACUUCAGGGGUAGGGGUGAAAUCUUGUAAUCCUUGAAGGACCACCAGUGGCGAAGGCGUCUCACCAGAACGGACCUGACGGCAAGGGACGAAAGCUAGGGGCACGAACCGGAUUAGAUACCCGGGUAGUCCUAGCCGUAAACGAUACUCGCUAGGUGUCGGCCACGGUGCGACCGUGGUCGGUGCCGUAGGGAAGCCGUGAAGCGAGCCACCUGGGAAGUACGGCCGCAAGGCUGAAACUUAAAGGAAUUGGCGGGGGAGCAC
rnacentral:rRNA from 1 species